rnacentral:rRNA from 1 species
UACGGAGGGUGCAAGCGUUAUCCGGAUUCACUGGGUUUAAAGGGUGCGUAGGUGGGUUGGUAAGUCAGUGGUGAAAUCUCCGUGCUUAACAUGGAAACUGCCAUUGAUACUACUAGUCUUGAAUCUUCCGGAGGUCAGCGGAAUAUGUCAUGUAGCGGUGAAAUGCUUAGAUAUGACAUAGAACACCAAUUGCGAAGGCAGCUGACUACAGGGGCAUUGACACUGAGGCACGAAAGCGUGGGGAUCAAACAGG